AAAAAAAAAAGAGAACUAUGUACCUAUCCUUACACGUGUUUCCAAAUAACUGGUUCUUGAAAGACAAACUAUUUGGACGCAUCCUUCAUUUGGUUAGCAAUUCCUGCUUCGUUUGCUCAGCCAUUUUAGAUAAAUCUUAUAUUCUCCUCGAGGUCCUUACAACAAAUCUUUGGAAACCUGAAGAUCAAUUCUUGAUGCCAUUUAAAAGUACUUCAAGCUCACUUUUUGACACCAUUUAAAUUGAAGCAAGUCAUAGUAUCAUGAGAGAAAAAUAAAAAUAAGUUAACAUGAUAUAGUCCCAAAAAGGAAAAAGAAAUUAAGAAACCAUAGAAAAACAGAUACCAAAACAACCAUUUGUUAUCAUCUACUAUUAUUCAAGAUUUAAUCAAACAAAAUAGAAAAGAAAACGGGAUAAAAAAUAUACCAGGCCCGAGAGCAUGGCCGUAAUUCUUGAAGCGACCCAUCUCCACAAGUAGAAGUUGCGCUUGGAUCAGUAUAUGAAUCCUAAUUACUGAGGAGAUCUAUUUCAGACUUUUGAUUUCUGAAAAGAUGUGUAGCGGUAUUGGAGAUGAAACGGUCAUAACUCCUGGGAAUUUGAA
rnacentral:lncRNA from 1 species